UACGGGAGGCAGCAGUGGGGAAUAUUGCACAAUGGGCGCAAGCCUGAUGCAGCGACGCCGCGUGAGGGAUGACGGCCUUCGGGUUGUAAACCUCUGUUAGCAGGGAAGAAGAGAGAUUGACGGUACCUGCAGAGAAAGCGCCGGCUAACUACGUGCCAGCAGCCGCGGUAAU
rnacentral:rRNA from 1 species